UUAAAUUAAACUACUUGGCUUAUGACUUUGGAGAGCAUGUCUCAGAGUGGUAGGGACUCAAAUUGGAUGUUAAGAAGCUACAUGAAGCCAAAGGGAUGCUAAUUCGUACCAUAGCAAAAAAAUGUUGCUCUCUAAAAGAAACAGAAGAAUGUUCAUGAAUAUGUUCAUGUGCCAUAAUUGCAUGGUUGGAAAAAUGAGCGCUAAGGGUAUCAAAGCCAUUUUAUGGUGAAGGAAAAGCUUUAAAAAAUGACACUGAGUUCUUUUUGAUCUCCCCACUAUAUGUUUUUCCCCACAAGAUACUGAAACAGAAUGUGGAAUGUUCAACAUAUUUAAUAGCUUUACAGCAGGACUAGGGAAAGAGGAUAGGUACAAGGGACAAAUCCAGGCCCUUCCUCUUCACCCCUUUUUCUUAAUUAAACAGUAGUGGGGGAAAAGGUAAGUUGGAAAAAUAGUAAAUGAUAUUUGAAAAACCACUCUCACAGUCUUGAUAUAACAUGCAGUCUAUGUAACAGUACAUACACACAGUCUGAUUACUUUGGGCCUUGUACAUAGCAUCAUCCAUAGGCAUUCUACAGAAUUCAAAACUGUACAAAAUAAAAAAUAAGCAUAAAAUCCAAGGAUUAUUUUCACAACAUUAGUAUUGCAGAAUAAAAGCAUUAAACCAGCAGGAGGCAAGGAUUCUGUAAACACCCUCUGCAGCAGUUUGCAGGAAGAUGAUCUUGGCUCAUGAGGGAUACAGGAAGCAGUCAUACAAUCAGAGAGCUCCAAAUUCGUAUAAGGGAACUGUGGCCCUGCCCUCCAUAGAGGCUGUAGAGUUUCUCCCCAAACAAGCAAAUGAGUAGCAUCUUAUAAAAACCAUGUGAUACUAAAAGCACUUUUAAACAGGAAAUACAAAAAGGCUAUCAAUAAACCCUCCCUUUCAUAGCCAGGAAAUAGUCAGGAUUCAUGUAUGUUCUGCCACAGAAUCAUCAUCCAACUUCUAUUUGUUCUAGGAAUAAAAUUUGGUGGUUUAGCUCCAGGCGUAACAGCAGUCUUUUCUACAAUUUCCCAGAACAGCAGAGAAAGACACCACAUGUGAAGGAUUGUUAAGGCAAUCUGUUUCUGAAAAAAGAAAAUAAGACUAUGGUGGUGGGCAAAGCACUCUGCAGAAGUUGAUGAAACCAUAAAAAGCAUGGUACCAGACAAUAACUGCAUCAAUAAUGGCAAAAAA